rnacentral:misc_RNA from 1 species
GAUGAAGAACUUAGCGAAAUGCGAUAAGUAGUGUGAAUUGCAGAAUUCAGUGAAUCAUCGAAUCUUUGAACGCACAUUGCGCCCCUUGGUAUUCCAUGGGGCAUGCCUGUUCGAGCGUCAUUUGUACCUUCAAGCUCUGCUUGGUGUUGGGUGUUUGUCUCGCCUCUGCGUGUAGACUCGCCUCAAAAUAAUUGGCAGCCGGCGUAUUGAUUUCGGAGCGCAGUACAUCUCGCGCUUUGCACUCAUAACGACGACGUCCAAAAGUACAUUUUUACACUCUUGACCUCGGAUCAGGUAGGGAUACCCGCUGAACUUAAGCAUAUCAAUAAGCGGAGGA